GUUUGCUUUAGUAAGUCUUUAGGAUCUUUCCAGUUCUCAGUGUGGGGUCUAUGACUUCAUCAUAGGUGUGAUUUAAUUAAGACAGAAUUGAUAGUCUUGAAAUACUUGAUACAUGAGACACACUGUAGAACAACCUCAUGUUAACUUCAUGAGCUCAGAUUUGGGCACCUGAGAUCUGCAAGUUAAAUUGUCUGUGGAAAUGUGCUGCCUCUGUUAGUGAAAGAUAUAUAUUUUAUGAGAAAUCCAGACUUUCUUCAUUUACACAGAUUCUUGUUUUAUCUUUCCUAAAAUUUUUUGGUUCCAGGAAAGUUUUUCUAAAGAUGAAGAGACCAGAGGGUGGGCAAACAUGCAUGAGAAAGUAGAAAAGCUAUUUACAGAGAAGCUGAACUCAGUCAGAUAAGUGAGUAUUCUAAUAAAUGUUUGACUUUUCUCCUCCAGUUUCUGGAGAGAUUCAGGCUUAAGAAAUAAAAUGACUAAAUUAAGAAGCUUAAUAAUUUCUCCAUUUAAGCUGACUCGAUGGCUUGUGGGAGUGCUUAAGGUUUAUGCUAGAAAUUACCCUGCAUCCCAGGGAUCAGGAGUGGAAGCUGAUAAGAUAACAUGAGGCACAGGAGCAGUAUGUCUCACUCCACUGGCUCUGCCUUCAGAGCUCUUUAGUAGCUGGCAUGAGGAUGAGUCUAGCUCUGUUUCAAAAGCAUAGAAGAAGAAAAGGCAGAUAGCUACAGAAUACUGCCUAUAGUUACUACCACAUACUCCCCUGAGAGAGGGAACUCAUUUCCAUUGCUUCAGUGGCCUUCAGAUUUCUUCACAGUGGUAGACUCAUUGUCAGCCAAAAGGAAAGGAAAGAGCCUUCAUCUCAAUUCCUAUCAAUUUUGUCUUAAUUACAUCAUAUUGCAACAUACCUAUGAUGGAGUCAUCGACCCCACAUGGAGAACUGGGAAGACUUAAAGGCUUGCUAGAGCAAACAUCUGUGGGUGCAACACUGAAAAUUUGCCCCCAAAUGUUCCUUGUGUUCUUUCCUCUUGGACUCCCAAGGAUUGCAUGGUAUGUGUCUAUCCAAAUUGCUAUCACCCUCAAUACUGCAGCUUUGAGCUGUUGUGGAACUGGCUACUUCUUCUGCAAUCCAGAACCUGUUUUACUGCUGCUUUUAAUUGUCAGCCCUCCAGUGCCUGCGAAUAGGGUACAUAUACAGAUGCACUGACACAGUCAUUGAAGGUCUACCAGACAAAGUGUGCUAUUGUGAUAUAAGUCAGGUGGGAGUUGAAAGACCUUUAAAUUCAAAAUUUCUACUCUGUACACACCUGCACCCAGAAGGGGGAGACUGGGUAGUAUCUUUCACCCAAAUAAAUGUGUUAAGAUUAAAAACA
rnacentral:lncRNA from 1 species